rnacentral:rRNA from 1 species
AACCUUUACACUGCGGGAAACCGCGAUAAGGGGACACCGAGUGCCAGCAUACAAUGCUGGCUGUCCACAUGUGUAAAUAGCAUGUGAUAGCAAGGGCCGGGCAAGACCGGUGCCAGCCGCCGCGGUAACACCGGCGGCCCGAGUGGUAAUCACUAUUAUUGGGUCUAAAGGGUCCGUAGCCGGUUUAAUCAGUCUGCCGGGAAAUCUGACAGCUCAACUGUUAGGCUACCGGGGGAUACUGUUAGACUUGGGACCGGGAGAGGUAAGAGGUACUACAGGGGUAGGAGUGAAAUCUUGUAAUCCCUGUGGGACCACCAGUGGCGAAGGCGUCUUACCAGAACGGGUCCGACGGUGAGGGACGAAAGCUGGGGGCACGAACCGGAUUAGAUACCCGGGUAGUCCCAGCCGUAAACGAUGCUCGCUAGGUGUCUGGAAUGGUGCGACCGUUUCAGGUGCCGCAGGGAAGCCGUGAAGCGAGCCACCUGGGAAGUACGGCCGCAAGGCUGAAACUUAA